AUUUUUCUGAUGAGUGCUAAAUAGCACGAAACUUGAGUUCAGAGU
rfam:Schistosoma margrebowiei strain Zambia genome assembly, scaffold: SMRZ_scaffold0000115